rnacentral:lncRNA from 1 species
CAAAGAAAACUUAGUGACGACGACAACACGAACUUCACAAUGCAAAAAGGAAAAAGAAGGUUGUCUUUUUUAGGAGGAAGAAAGCCCUUGAAAAGGAAACUAAUUUGCUCGUUCGCAGGCAGCCAUCUGAUUGACUCGGACCACCAUUCUCCCUUUGUUGAUCAAUUCCUACCACCUAAAAGAAGGUGGUAGUACAUUUGUCGACAUUUCCCAAUGCUUCCCAUCUCCACUACUCUUGAACAAUUUGCCGACAGGUGGAUCUUGAUCGAUGAAACACAAGCCUCCUCGCUGACCCCAUUCUCCAAGUGGAAGAAGAGUAGCUGAUGAUGAUGGCCUCAUCACAUCCUAUAGAAAAGCAACAGUUAAACAAACGGCGUUGCUUGCACUACAGUUCAGAAUGAUUGAUUCAUAUGACCGAGAGGGUUCGUGAGAGAGAGAGAGAGAAUCCACCAGAUCUACACAUCUCUCUGCUAAAUGCCCAAUUUAUCAGCCCCACAUAUUAUUCCAUUCAGUCUCUUUCGUCGUCAGCUCACCGGGAGAAGCUAAUGCAUACUUCCAAUUUCAUCGUGUCAUACAUGCACGUCAUUUGAGAUGAUAACAUUUACAACCUCAAACCAAUAGAAGAGGACAACAUCAUUUCGUUUAUACUAGUUUGUUACCAUACGUGAUUCUUUAUAAUGCUAAUUCUCCGAUAUGAAGAAUCAUAGGUUGCCAUUGGAUGGUGUGACGUCGGUGAUCAACAUCGAUCACUUCGUAUCAUUACAUGUCGGUGCUUCGUCAAUCAAAAGCGAAUAUAUCCAUCCUCCUAAACAUGAUUGAUUGAUACAAUUCAAACAAGAUGAUUCAAUAAUAAAACAGUCGUAUAUAUAAACUCUGAGAUCAGGUAACAGUCGUAUCUACUUUUACAGGUCAUGUCCUCUUUCUUCAAGAACAAGGAAGAUUAGAAGGGACACCACCUUCUCAUAUAUGUCAAUAUUUUUGGCAUCGGUUGGUGACGCGUUUUACGUGGAUCUCAUAUAUAUUUUAUUUGGUGGCGGUAGAUAUUAUAAUUGAACUAAGGUAUGUAGGUAGUUUGUUGGUGGGUGUAGAAGCCCGGUUGUUGAACAUCCAUCCAAUCUUCUAUCUCUUUUUCUUCAAUUUUGAUAUACAAACUAAUGCACGUAUAAUUAUUUGAUUGACACUGAUAAAGUCAAACAUUUAUAUUAAUGGUAGUCAUUUGAUGGGAUCAAUACACAUUGGAGAACUUUGCUUCUUAAUAUAUGUAUAUAGUGAAUACUUUUUCUACAUCAUGCAAGUCUUUUGUUGAUCGUACAGGGGGAAAUCCUACCUUGUAAACACCAUCGAUUUCGAUGGUGUAUACAUGCAGGAAGCCUUCAAAAGAACCACAAAGACGGGUCGAAUACCUCAUACAUCAUCGAUUUCGAUGGUUUGGCCCCACUUAAGAACUCCUCAUCAUGUGAUUCAUGUCACCCAUCACAGAAUGAAGUCCCAUUUGUCAUCCUUUCUCGCUGUAUUCUGACACACCGGCCGUACAUCCGGCAAAUGUACGCUAACUCUAACGUGCCUUUUGGCUUUUCAAAAACUUCACAUAAUUUACAAGUCAACCCAUCAUUUAUUUCCAACAACAAAAAAAAAAAGAAGAGUAACAGAAACAGAGAAAAAAAAACAAAAAACAAAAGCAGGAACAUCUCACCUCUCUCCUAUCCCCUCCCCGUCUCUCAACUUCCCUUCGCCUCCAUCAUUAUUACUUUCCGAGAUAAAGACGCCUGAUCCAAUUCCCCUACCCCAUUAAUACCCAAAGACCGCGUUUUGAUCGCCGCAAUCGACCAAACGCAGGUCCAAAGAUCCGACUGCGCGCUUGCUCCAUCGCUUCGCGUCGCCCUCCCUCCGGAGUCUGCACCUCCCGUCUCUCUGCUUAUGCUUCUUCCGACCCCUUGGUUUCAGCUCCCUCGCCCGGGUUUUUCUCUCCCGAGAUUUCUCUUUUCGUGCUGAUGACACCGAAAGCGUCGGACUUGGUGACUGGGGAGCGGGGGAUUCCCCUGCUCUCCUGGCUGCUGCUUGCGUCGUUGCUGUUCUGGAGACUGCAACUUGGAGCGUCGAUCGACGACGACGGUGAGUCCUUCAUUUUUCGUUUGGUUUCCCUGUGUUUAGGGUUUGGUUUUUGUUGGAGUGAGAGUGGGAUUUGAGGUUUUUUUUGGAUGUGUGGUAGCGAGGGCGCUCUUGAGCUUUAAAGCGAACAUGGAGUUCGAUCCGUACGGAGCUUUGGCAGACUGGGAAGAAGCAGAGGAGGUGGAUUCGUGCUUUUGGUUUGGCGUUCAGUGCGACGCAGGAAGAGUCGUAGCUCUGUGAGUAAUACAGUUUUCCUCAAUCAUCUACCUGGUUUGUGUGUCACAGUAUUCUCUUCUCUUAAUGCUUAGAAAUACAACAAUUCUUUGUUCAGAUCGAAACAAAUUUAAUGCUAGAAAUACAUUAUUUUUUUCCCAUAAUUUCAUCAUCAAUAUAAGUUCUGAAAAUUCAGCUGAUGUUGUUAGAAAAACUUGAAAAUUUUUAAAAAUCAUUACACGUAAAUCUAGAGCCAGUGAAAACUGUCCUGUCAAAUCCUUACAGUUAUAUCUGUCCGCAGUAGAAUCUCAAGAAAUUGAUUACGAAUUAAUCAUCAUUUCCUGUUCAAACAGUAGAAUGCAGAAUGAACAUGACUAUGACAUCCAUGCAAGUCAAUAAUAGCAACAUAUAGUUAGGAGCUUGGGAGAUAAGUAGCAUAUGACCCUUCAUGGUGCAUAUGCUUUUCUAUAACGAUGCCUUACUAUAAAACAUGGUGGUCAUUAGUAUAUGAUCUAUCAACUAGUGGUUGGAGUGGUAUAGCGGUCGAGAGGGUAGGCAGCAAGUAGCAGGGAGUGGCAUUGGCUGGCAACGAUGGCGGCAACUGGUGGUGGGCAGUGGUGCGUGGUAGUGGCAGAGCAUCAAAAGUGGUGAUGCUACUGAAUUUUGGCGCUGGAAAGGGCAGUUAUAAGCGACGAUGGCAAGAAGUGGAGGGUGAUCACGGCGAGUGGUUGUAUUGUAAAGGAAGUGUCGAUAGAAAAAUUUGGAAACACAUUACCAAAUGGGGAACAGGCAAAAGCUAUUGUUAUACUUUUCUUUUCUUUUUCAUUCUUGAAAUUAAUUUUUUGGUAACACAUUAGACGGGCCCUAAACCUGUGUUUGAAUUCAGGCAUAGUUCCCAGUACCAGAAAAUAAACUCUGGAUGACAUUCCCUUCCUGUUACCUGCUCUUAUGAUAGGAGUGCUCUUCUAAUAGGGCACUUUUGUUUUGGGCAGGACUGAUUGGCAUGAGGGACAGGCCCUUUUAUGAUAGACUCAAAAUAGAUGCAUUUAUAUACACAACUCCUUAUUUUUAUUGUUUUGUUAUGCUGCUCUGUUUUUAUUAUAUGCGACUCUUAUCUUCCUUGUUAUUCCUAACUAAUGCAAGAGCAUAAAAUUGAAAACAUCCUCCCAUUAUAUUCCUGGCAUAAAGAACAAAACAAUGUCACCCUUAGAAUUAAUUAUAAUUAUUUCAAUUUCUCUAAUAUACAUCCUGUUUUCACAGAAAUUUGAAAGAUCUUUAUCUUAAAGGAAAGCUUGCACCUGAACUUGGAAGGCUUAUUCACUUGAAGUCUCUGUAAGUAUUUUUUAAUUAAUAACGUACACAUGCACCAUUUUGUUCAUCUAACAAGUAAAUGUAGUCAAAGUUGGGAAUAGUGGUUAAAACUGAGGAGAAAGUACAAACAUUUUGUAUUUUCUAGUUGGAAUGGUUGUGAAUCUCAGAGGCUCCCUACCAAUAUAGGGAAACAUGCAAGAAAACUUUAAGAUCAAAUGUCCUUGAUAUAAAUAUUAUUUCUUGUGGUUUGUUUUUAUCAAGGGUCAUGAUUCCCAUGAAGUCAAUGGCCAUAAUGUCCUCCCCCCCUGCUUCUAAUGCAGUCUUGUUUGGUUUAGUUUCCCAUAGGGAAUAAGAUGAAAUUAAUAGAAGAAAUGCGAAACGAAGUUCAUUAUAUCGUAUAUAAAAGUAUUUAUUUGUAAAGCUUCCAUAUCAAGUGUAGUAUUUUGCUAUAAAGAUUUUAUUAAGAAGUUUCUUCUGCUCUGCCUUUGGCUUGUUGUUAAAGCCUUAAGUUAUGGUAUUUUGUAGUUUAAACUGAUAGAUCAAAUCUAGUAGCUCCAUGCUCAGCUGGCUGUUCUUUAAUGGCCAUCAAAUUUCAAAAAUUCUCGAACAUAGGCUUGGUCCAAGUUAUCUAAAUCUUUCACUGCAAGUGAUUCUUUGGAUCCAGAUGGUAAUCCUACAUGGAGCCACCCAACCGGAGCUGAAGGUCCGAUCAUGAGUUAAACAACGUAGGGCUGUUGGAACAUUAUUCUCUUCAAUAUUGACUUAGACUCAUGAAUCCUUCUUGGUUUCUGUCCUCUGAUUUUACAAAAUCCCUUGGUCGAGACCAUCCAAUAGAAUACCCAAUAAAUUUAAUAAUAGUUCCUGUUUAAAGAUACUUUAUUAAUUGGGAAUAUAUCUGAAAUAUUGAACAACCAAAUUAUGCCAUUGACUAAAGAGUUUUUGCAUGCCUUCUUUCUUCCUAAAGUUUUCUUGUACUUGUUUACUCCUGCAGUAUUUUAAAUAAUAACUCAUUUUACGGAGUCAUCCCAGAGGAGUUAUCAGCUUUGCAGAAUCUGGAGGUCUUGGACUUGGGGCACAACAAUCUGACAGGACCACUUCCAACUUUUCUGAGCCAUCUUUUAUCCUUGAGAAUUCUGUGAGUAGAGAGUAGUUUUCGAGUCAAAGCUUUUGCAUUCCGAUGGUGAGAAUGUCAUGUUCAUGGUUUCAUUUUGCAGCAUACUUACAGACAAUGGAUUUGUCGGUAGCAUGUCAUCGGUACUUCAUGAACUCAAUUUUCUUUCGGAGGUUCAGUUUGACGAACACAUGUUAUCAUCAAACAAGGGAUUAAUUACAAGGUAUUGUCUUAUUAAAAAUACAUAAUAUAGGUUGAAGUUACUUUUAAUAACUUGUGUUUUCUGUGAUUGAGUUUUAGGAAAUGAUUUCCUAGUAAAUGAUUAUCGUGUAUCGAACAUUGUUCACACUCAACAAAAGAUUCUUCUCCUUGGAUCAUUCUGUUAUGUCAUCAAGAGUCCAAUGUUUGUUCUUGGAUCAUUUUGUUAUGUCUGCAUUAGUCAUGAGAAACCAUUGUCUCGCAAUGUCUUCAGGGGUAAUGAAAAGUCAUAAUCUUGUUGAUUUUGGUCUCUGAUUUAAGCAUCGCAAUAGCUUGAUUUGGAUUCAUGUGAAUCUUUGAGGAUCAUUUUUUGUGUGAUAUCAUGUACUAAAGAUGAAACUUAUUAGAAGUUUGAAUGUGAGAGAUUGUGAUUGGAAAUCCACUAUGUCAUGAUACGUGAUACAACUACAGUAAAAAAUUUUAUAGUGGAAAUGAGCAUGUUCUUUCUUGUGCUACCUUUCUUUAUAUUGUUUUUCUGUUGUAGAAACCUCAAAAAUGCAACUAUUCGGAGACUUCUGCAACUAGCAAAUCAUUCGCCAGCAGCAGCACCAGCACCGGCAUCAUUGCAUAAUGGCAGGCACCGUAAAAGAAACAAGACUAACAUUGAUAUACGUACUCCUUCAGCUGGACCAUCUUCAUCUUCUGUGCCCCCAGAAAACUCGCACACAUCUUCUAGGUUACCUUUCUUGCACCCAACACAUGCACCGGUAGUUUCACCAUCAGCAUCUGCACCAUCAAUUACCCUCCCAUCAUCUCCAAGUAGCCAUCAUGCGCCUGCUCCUGCACCAGUAAUCGAACCCCCAACAUCAGUACCACAUAAUCAACAUAAAUCUGAUCUUGCCCCAUCCCCUGUCUUCAUUCUAAUUCCACCCCCCAUCAUCAGUCCAGCAGCAGCAGCAAACACACACAAAAAACAUGCAAGAUUGUGGGUAUUGUCGUCGAUAGCCGGUGCUGUUUCAUUUCUACUUGCCAUAUCUGCAGUGUACCUUCUGUGCUGGCGAGCCAACAAGGUCGUAACUAUUAGACCCUGGGCAACAGGCUUAAGUGGCCAAUUGCAGAAAGCAUUUGUGACAGGUAGUUCUUUCAUACUUUCUGUUUGCUGCUAUUUGUGUUUCAUUUAUAUUUUCCCUACCCAAACCCAAAAUAUUGCUCAAACUUGUAGGCGUCCCUGCACUUAAACGGUCCGAACUAGUAGCAGCUUGUGAAGACUUCAGCAAUAUCAUUGGUUCCCUAUCAGGAUGCAUGCUAUACAAGGGGACAUUAUCAAGUGGUGUUGAAAUUGCAGUGAUUUCAACUGUGGUCAAAUCUGCAAAGGAUUGGUCAAAGCAAUCCGAAACUCAAUUUAGGAAAAAGGUGAGCUGCAUUCUACUAGCAUCUCUCAGCAAAAACAUAUUAUAGUGCCUAUGGCAUCCAACUAAUGAAAGUUGGCCAUGUCUAUCAGGUUACAAUGCUUUCCAAACUGAACCACAAGAAUUUUGUGAACCUGCUUGGGUAUUGUGAGGAAAGCGAGCCUUUCAGCAGGAUGAUGGUGUUUGAAUAUGCUCCGAAUGGGACACUUUUUGAACAUCUACAUGGUAACGUUUUUUUUUGUUGUAAAACCUAACAUACACUAGAAAACAUAUUAGUCGAAGAAUAGUUUACUUUUCUUGCUGUAGUUCAAGCUAUAUAGCACAGAUCUCCUGAUUAGCCAUGGCCAGGUUUUCUAUAAUAUCGUCAUUUUGUAGUCUCUCAUAAAACAAUCCUAUUGCUAUUUUUUGGGAUCGCGAGCACUGCUUUCAGGCUUCGGUGUAAUUUGCAGUAAAAGAAGCAGAGCAUUUGGACUGGCGGACGAGGCUGAGGAUUGCCAUGGGAAUAGCAUAUUGUCUAGAGCACAUGCAUCAGCUUAACCCUCCUAUCAUCCUCGGUAGUCUAGACUCAUCUACCAUCUGCUUAACAGAUGAUUAUGCUGCUAAGGUAUCGGACGUGCAAUUCUGGAGUGAAUCAAAAGAUACUGGAUCAGGGUCUGGAAGCUCAAGUCCUUUGUCAGACGCAGAGAGUAUUGUGCAUAGAUUUGGCAUACUCCUAUUAGAGAUAUUAUCAGGCCGGCUUCCAUUCUCAGAGGAGGAUGGUCUACUUGAGCAGUGGGCUUUGUGCUUUCUAAAUGGUGAAAAGCCCUUCAAAGACUUGAUCGACCCGACUCUCAAAUCCUUCGAUGAAGAAACUUGUGAUGCACUGUGCAAAGUAAUAUGCUGCUGCAUUCACCUAGAGGCCAAGGAAAGACCAACAAUGGCAGAGGUCACAAGGCGAAUGAGGGACAUCACAGCAAUGCCACCCGAUGGAGCGACUCCAAAAGUGUCGCCACUGUGGUGGGCUGAGCUCGAGAUUAUAUCUUCGGAAGGGAACUAAAGAAUGGAAGUGGUUAUGUUGUAUUGGCUGUAUGUAUUGAAUGCUUUACCAUGACAUGGAAAUGAGAAAUGUACAGGCAUGGUGUUGUAUUUCCUGCAAAAUGUUCGUUUGCUAGGUGUUUGUGAAAUGUUCACACUUCUGAAGAUUUAAACUGUCUCAUCGUUCAUUGUGCUUAUGGGAAUCCUGUUUGAUACUGUUGUAAUCGUUCAUUGUGAAAUGUAAUCUUUCUUGAGAUUACAGAAGUGUAAAAUGUUCACACUGUUGUGACCUCCUCGAUCGUUCUUCCUAACGAUGAUAAUAUCCUCUUUCAUCGACCUCCGCUUGCCGCCGAUGGACGCCAGCAAAAAGAACUGAUGGAACUUUAUUUUGUAACAUCAUCAAAUCCAACACUAAAUCGAAAACAUAUGCCCGUACAUUGUUUCUACACGAAGAUUCUUCCUAGUGAUUUAGAUGUGCAAAUAGUUUCCUCGUAAGGAGUCAUAUGAUAGGAUUUAAUGAAAAUUAUCUACCGGACUCAAUUGGUUUUAUCUAAAUUGUAUCCUUAUUUUUUUUUUGUUGAGUCAACCUUCUUGAAAUCUCUUAUAAUUCUUUAAAGACCUACAAAUGAGGAGUUAAAGAAAGUAUUUAGCUCAUGAUCCACAAUCAAUCAUUUCAGUAAGCUUUGAACGAUGACACAACAAAGGAUCUAAGGUGAUUCGUCGUAACCAAAAGACCUCAUAAGUGCUCACAUAAUACUAUUGUAGAACACGACAGCAAACCAACUUUAAACACUAUCCCAAAGACCCAUCUAGCCAUGUCUCACUCAGGAAACUCUUAGAUGUUGUGCUUAUUGACACUUCGUACUAAUCUGCGAAGCUAGAAAACCCAAAAAAUGACUACUUGAAUGAUCUAUUUUCGAGUAAUUUUAUCUUUGUGCGAUGAUUGCACAUGACCUAUGUUUACAAACUUAAAACGCUAAAAAAAUAAACCAAAAUAGGGCUGCCAAGCUUAUUAGCUGAUACUUUACACGACUCUAUCGAGCUAAAAAAUCACCAAAAUAACUACAUAGAUAAUCUUGCCUUUGCACGAGUUGAUAUUUUACACUAUUCUAUCGAACUAAAAAAUCACCAAAAUAGUUACUUGGAUAAUCUUAUCUUUGCACAAUGAUUAUACACAAUAUACGUUUAUAAACCUGAAAUGAUCAUAAAAACCAAUCAAAAUGAGAUUGUCAGCAUACUACAAACCCUCUACAUGGUAUAUAAAAUAUAAACAAAAUUAAAAUAUAUAAAUAUAUAUAAAUAUUACAUCAAACAUCUUAUUUAUAACCUUGUACACAAUAUUAUAACAUACACUAAUGAUAUAUAACCACAUAAGAUCAAAUAACCUCAUUCAAAUUAUGAAGGACCUACAAAGCAUACUAUCAAAUGACUAUACAAGCAAACAUAAAUAAAUAAUAAUGAUCGAUCCGUCCAUUCUAAUGCAUUGGCCCUCUUUAAAAACCCAAUCAUUUACUAACUAUUUAUUCUGAUGUUCCAUGAAAAUAAUUCAACUCAACGAACCAUCCUUGCAAAAAAGACUAAAGACAAAUUUCCUAGGCACAGUUGAAUACUGUUCCCUAAUUCUAACAUCUAAGAACCAACCGGAUCUACGAAGACGACAUGCAAAAGUUUCACAAUAAAAAACCAAAUCGAUUUAGCAGAAACAAAGAGUCAGCAAAGAACACAAAGUACAGUCGUAAAAUCUCAGGCAAUUUUAUGCAGCAUAAUUCUUGUUUUCUGACCACAAACUAGUGGAUCAUAAACCAAGUUCAAGCACGACCAUCCAUCAUAUUCUAUCCCCAAGUGGCACAAACACUGCCGAGAACACGAAACAGAUAUGACAUGAGAACAGAACCUAUGGUACACUGCUGAAGACCAAGCGGAAACCUUUUGACCUUGUUAAUCUUAAAAAGCGAAUGUUUGGCUGCGAAAAAUGGAUUCAACUCAUGAAACUAAUACUCGGUAGAUCAUUCCUUUAGUCCAAGUAGCAGUUUCCUUCAGUUGCUCGUUGUCUGAUUGAAAACACUCUCCCAAUAAAUCCAUAUGAAAAGUACAAUCCUUAAACAGGACCUUCGUGUCUGGGCCAAGGGUGUCUGCAAGAUCUCCAAUCACCGCUACAGCAGCUUUAGUUACCUCUUCAUCCCUGGACAGCCACCAGAAAAAAAAGAUAUCAUGUUUAAAUGUCACAAGAAAAUAUGGAUAAAAAUUACAUCAGUGAGCUACACACCUAUUCUUAUCCCUGACAACAGCUUCUAUGAACUUCAAAAGAGGGCUUGCAUAAGGAACCAUCACAGCUGCCGUGGAACGUUUGAACCCCUGAAGUAUACCAGAGUAAGCCUCGAAAAUACCUCGCCUAAGCUGAUUACCAUAUUCUUGCAUAUCAUCAUCAUUUAUAUCCAGUUGAGAGCAGAGCUCCGCAGCUCCUUGCAGCAUUGGCAUCACAUACGGGACAUACUUCUCAAAAUGCUCACCAAUUGCGAGAGCAAUAUCUCCAAAGCAUGAAAAUAUGGGAGGCUUUACAGACCGAUGAAGCACAGGAUUGGAGAGGUCCUUUAGAAGUUGACUCAUGAUACCAUCACAAUAGGGAAGAACCUUGUCAUCCAAAGCACGGCAGAUGUCACCAACAACACCAACCGAAAUUGAGCAGACCUGAUAUUCCUCAAAGUUCUGCAAGCCCAUCUCUAAAUACUUAUAGAACUCCUGCAUGUACGUUGCAAAUUCAGGACCUGUGCCAUAAGCAAGGGCCCCAAUCGCAAGCAUUGCUUCCUCAUGGACGGUUGAACUGCGGCAAGCAAAAACUUGCAGAAAUAAGGUCAUCAUCUGAUCAGCAGAUUGAAGGAUUAUGGACUUCGUCUCAUCUGAAUUACUCAAUUUCUGUAAUAUCACUUGCAGGACGCCACAUAGCAGGGCUUGCACAUCACUUUGCUUUUCCCUGUCCUCUGAAGAUGCGAUUUGGAGCUCCAAAGUCUUGCUUAAUCUAUUCAUGAUUUCAAGAAGGAGAUGGGCAAUCAUGUUUGAGGUCUCAGGUGUACCGCUACAUCGAAUUAUCUCGUUCAAUGUUUCAUAUGCAGAUGAACGAAGCCUGACAUUGCUUGUGUCUGCACGAUCAGCUGUAGAAAGGAGAGCUGAAACAACAUCACCAAGAUAAGGUGUGAGCAUCGAUGAGUUAGAAUCUGCAUCCUCAAAACCCUGGGCAAGAAAAUAAAUGGCCCCGCAAACUUUCUCAGCCACAUUCGGAGAAUCUCUGAUACUUACCAAUAGCACAGACAUGAUACGUGGAAGGUUUGUGGUAGUUAAAACAGGAUACUCGCUGGUCCCAGAAUGCAGGAUCUCAAAUAUCCUACCAAGAGUCCAAGCAGUUGUGUCCUUGACAUGACUAUUUUGGUCCUUCAUUGCGUUCAGCAAGAAGUCAAGUCCAGCUUGAACAAGUGGUGCAAGCUUCUCAGUAGACGGACCUUCAAGAAUUGACCCAAAUGCAAAAGUAGCUGCCUCCCGGCUUCGCCAUUCACCCUUGGUUAUAUUAUUCUCCACAAAGGGCAUCACAAGGGACACAAUUGCAUCACCAACAGUUCUUGCAACAAGUCCAAGACAGGUCCCACCAGCCAUAGACAAAUUCCAAACACCAUCAUCCUGGUCCUGAUCUUCCUCUUGCUUUAGCAGUGUUUCUAACAUCAAUGGCACAAGCAAAGGAAGUGCCUUUUCUACAAAAUUAGAAUGGAGGGAAGAGCUUCCACCUUCAUCUCCCCCAAACUCCUCUUGAAUUUGAAUCUCUUCAUCACAGAUGGAACUCCAAAACUCAAUGGCUUGAAGAGCAACAGGCUCCUCAUCUCCUCUCACAGCAUUUGCAGUCAAAUCAAAGAGGGUCUGCAUGUAAGGCUCUAGGAACUCAUAAUAUGUAGAGGCUAUAGAAACAAGACACUCAAAUGCUGCUUGUCUGAUCUCCAGCUCUUUAGAAAGAGCAGUUUCACAUAUGACUUUCAUGAUGAAGUUCCUCUCUACCUCGUUAUCAAAGUUAGUCUGAGCAAAAUCCAGAGCAUUAUAGAGUGCCUUCACAGCCGCAAGACGAACUUCAGAACUAUGUUCUGCCUGGUUCAUGCCCUGCACAACAGCAGUGAGGACAGAAUUCACUUGAGCCUGCUCCAAAUCCUGAGGAGAAACUUCCUCACAGACAUACCCCAGUGCCUCCAGGGUUGCUUGCUUCAAAGGUGCAGGAGCAUCUAGCCGAGUCAUGUUAUUUAGCAGCUGGCCAAUAAGCUCCUGCCAUUCAUGUCGGGGUAUCUCGAUGGAUGCGACCUUAGCAAUGACUUGCGAAGAAGUGUGUCGCGCUUCAGACACUGUUGAUCCAAGCGUCCGCAACAAGGAUUCCUUGAUUUGAGCUUUGAUGGAUGGAUCCACACUGACCCAUCGCUGAAUUAAUUCUUCCUUACGAACGGUGUCCUUUGCAUCUAGAGAAUUCUUAAGAAUAAUACCAGCAAGUCUUCGAGAUUCAGGAGGCUUUUGUUCGCUCGAUAGCUCGACGGACAGGGAAACUAAGAAAUGGGGAAGACUCUGUUCCUGAAACUGCUUAAGAUUUGCUUCAGCGAGAGUUCGUAUCUGCCCAUCAGGAGAUUGGGCAGACAACAGGAUCUGGGUUAUCUCCAUCGCUGUGUUUAUGAUGCUAGAAAAGGUUACAGAAACCAACAUAUAGAGGAUAUUAGCAAAUCGAAGAAACUUCAUCAACCUAAAACACACUACACAGGAGAACCAUUACCAGAUAAGUACUUGAAUAAAUCUGACUAUCAGAAUGCACCCAUUAACAAUGACAAAUUCUGUAAAUCUGGCAUAUGAAAUUUCCCAUCUAGCACAUUCCACAAACCUUACCAGACAAGUUUCUGUGUUUGUCAAUAAUGAUAUGAACUAUGACAGAUAAAAAAGUAAAUACAAUCACGAAUCCACACCGAAACGACCAAAACCCAAACCUACAUUGAUGUAUAUGCAUACAUGCAUAGCAAUAUUUACUUCAAUAAGCAAAAACAAUCUAACCAAAGAACGUAAAAAGAGAAAAAAGAGGAAAGUGAAGCAGACUGCAGUCGUACAAAUCACAGUAGGCCAACUGCGUUGUCUGUCGCAGUAGGCCAAAACUCACAAGAAACGAAGAGAUUAACUCAAAUGUAAAUUGAAUCUAACAGAUCUAAGGGAGCGACAGAGAUAUCUUAGACCAGGCAUCAUGGGGCGUUACCCUCUAUACUGGUCGGGAUGGAGUAAAGAUGUGCCGCCUCCCGGGAUCGCAGAAAAAGAUCAAGAUCUGACCGAGAUCGCCGCUUCGUUCCCUGCGAUUGGGGACGGGGAAGGAAGGAAGCAGUGGGGAGACUUGGAAGAGGGGAUGGGGUGGGGGGUUUAUGAAGCGGUCACGGGGAGGAAGUGAUCCGAAGGGCGGGAGGACGAAACCCUAAUUAGUUUUGAAAUGCCCUCAGUCGCGUGUGGAUCGCUUAUUGGGUUCGGAUCUAGUUGCUAAAUGGGCUGUUCGUGGACUACAUUUAAGAGCUCAAACAAAAGCCCUCUAAGGCCUGUUAACGAAGCCCGUAAACCCGAUAGACUCGAACCGUAAAUCCGACCCGAAGUCUCCGAAUUUGAUCAUCACCGUGUUCCGUAAGCUUAGUUUUAGUUUUGGAUCCGAUAAGGGAUUAAAUUCAUCUGAUGGAUGGAUCCGAUCCGAUAACAUCCCCUAUUUACCGCUGAACUUAAUAUAUAUAUAGCCUUCAAAAACGUUUCCGUCGUGUUUUCUGGAUCUCGUGUGCAAAUAAGAAAUCUGAAAGUGGGAGAUGUGAAAGAAAAAAGCAUUUUUUGUUGUUUUCGGUUUAAUGUUGUUUUUAAUAUUCGCAGCAAGUUCCGCAAGAAAAUAGUUUUGGUUCCCUUUCGGCUCUCCAAGUGCCAAUCCAGUCUCCGGUCCUCCUGUUCUCUGCUUUCUCCUUCGGCUGUAGGCGUGGAGAGAGGCGGCGGUUGGUCUCAUCAGCAGCAGAUCCGGAGUCCCCGCUAUUGUUUCUCCCUAAUCUGAUUGAAAUCGAGGUGCUUUUGCCAUCGUCGGGAUCCGCCGAGAGGUACAACGCCAUCGUUGAGCUAUAGAUUUGGUAACCGCAUUCUCUCGGUUGUUGAUCGAGUGCGUAACUUCUUUUAUUGGGUUUUCUUGUGUAAAAUUAGCCUCCUUGUUACCAAAAUGUCUGCGCUCAACGAUGGCAGCUCGUCCCCUCGAUCUCAGGUUACCCAUGAACGGGUCGAUCCUCAAUUUUGAACACCACAGUAUGAUCUGUGUUACUAAGCAGGGGAUUGGGGUAUCCUUCUGGUGUGCAGCAUGCCUCUCGUUGUUUCGAGGAUCUCCUGGAGUCUAUUAUUGUGGAUGUGGCGUCGGAGUGCCACCGGAUAGCGAGACUAGGUCUCGACCGGAACCUGGAAGAAGAGGAGGAGGAGCUGAGGCUCUCCGCGCAGGCCCGGGUAGCUGAUCCUGGCAGCAGCGGUGAAUCCAAUAGCAAGAACGUGGUCGAUAUCUUCGGGCAGACGCAUCCCGCCAUCGCCAGCGAGACUUUUAAUUGCAUGAAUUGCGGCAGACCCGUCACGGCCGGACGGUUCGCUCCUCACUUGGAGAAGUGUAUGGGCAAGGUGAGUCAUGUUCUUGAUUUCCCUCAUCUUUUCUUAAAAUAAAAAAAAAAGCUCAUCUUGCUUGAUAAAAAUGGCAUCUUUGUUGACAAAUGCCGUUUUGUUACUGUGUGUUAGUAAUUGAAGUUUAGGUUGAUCUAUACAUGUGUUAACAUUCGAUUCACAAUCUUGCAAUGAGAUGUACGUAAUUGGUCUAUUCCACUGGUUUCUUGGAAGAUUUGAGAGACUAUUUCUAACCACUGGUAUAUUGUAUGUGCUUCAUUUCAGGGACGAAAGGCUUGCACAAAGGCCACCAGGAGCAGUACAAUUGCAAGAAAUAGGCAUUCUCGUGGGAGUCCUGUAACGGUUUAUGCGCCCUAUUCCAAUGCUACCAACAGCAACAGAGUUCCCAAUGGCACCACAGCAGGGGAGGAGUAUACGGAUUACACGUUUGAGGAGCCCUGAUAUCUCUUCCCAAGGUUUUUACAUUUAACCCUUUUAAUAUGUUCAAUGCCAAGAAGAAUUGUCCUUGCUAGUAUGCACUUAGUGUUCCCCGUUGCUCUUACGCAAUUUCUUCAAGGCUUCUUGAACAGCCUCACAUACCAAAGUUAGUUUGAAUGUCCUAAAAGAACUUGAUUCUCGUCUGCAGGUCUUAAUCAUAUGAUUUUAAAUGUCCGUGGUACCAAUGAUAAUCUUUCUUUGCUGUUUCUUUUUAGCUGAAAACUAAAUCAAUUUUCCAAGUAAAGGGAACAUACACAUAAUGUCUUCUCUCGAAGGGAUUUUUUUUUCCUCGGACUGUUAUUGUCUAUUUAGAAUUUGUCUUUGAUCCGUCCAUGAAAAAUUACAAGGGUUGCACCAAGAGAUAUGAUGCAUAAAGAUUAAUGUAGCCUGACAUUGGCUCUAUGAUUAACAGGGUGAACUUUAAUUCUUAAACGCAGUCUGCAGUCGUAUGUGUCAUUGAAGUUGUUAAAAUAAUUAUUUGUUUCUUUUCAUUUAAAGUUGUUCAUAAGGUUGUCUCUUUGUUGCCUAAUUGUUUAGGAUUCAAGACAUGGAAAUACAUUCUGAUUGUAAUGGUAAGGUCCCAAGAGCCUGGUGUGCUGGGCUGCCCUUUUCAGUUUAGCUUGUUGUGUAUAAGUUAUUUGGUCAUUAGUCUAAUUGAACCAUGACAUUUUACCAUGUGAUAUUUAGUCAUUUUUAAUUAUGAUGUUAAAUCAGACAUGACAAACUUAAUUUAAUUUUUAUCACAAUUUAAUUGAUGAGCCAAAAACCUUUGAGAAAAAAAGAUUCUUGCCGGUGCAAUCCUCAAUUCGCAUUUGUGCACAGACACCAAGAAUUAGGUACGUGACAAGGAAGUCACCAAAUUGUAAAUAAUUACUGACCCCUUGGUGAUGAAAUGCAGGUCUUGUUCUUAGCAAGCAAGUCAGAUUGUCAUGAUUAGAUCAUUGUUUAACUUUCAGUAGAUAUAUGUGAUGUCUAAGCAUGGUAAUAUGGUAGUCUUAUCCGAGAAACAUGUAGCGGUCAUGGAAGUAGAGCACAUCACCAAGCUUUAAAAUUUCCCAGAAUCCACAUUGCUCAAAUCCAUGAGUUAUGUUCAAAACUAAUCACAUAUUGACCAGAAUUUUCUUAUGAACUGCAGGUUUAUAUAUCUUUUGUUCAGUUAGAUUAAUUUCUUCAUGUCCCCGACCAAAGUAGAAUACUCUCGAGUUGAAAAGUUCGGUUACAUGAUGAGGUCAGAGUCUAGCUUGCUGUUAUCUCUGCGGUUUGUAUAUCAUGUUCAUUGUCUAGUUAUGCUCAUCUGUAUCUUGUAAUCUAUUUCACCAUGCUUACUGCUUGGAUUUUGGUGCCAAAUCUCAAUUUAUUGUUAAUUGGUAUUAGUGCAUAUUUCAAUUCUCUUUUUCAUCGCAGAAUCCACUCCAAAUCAGGAUGACUUGCCUUCAGCCUCCACCUUGUUCUCAAGUUAAAGUUCUGAAGACUACGAGGUAUACACUAUAGCAGCCAAAAUUGGUGCUUGGUCCGUGGUUUAAAAUGUGAAGAUUUCCAUCGACAUGAAUCUGCGCUACCUGUGUUUCCACUCGGAGCGAAUAGCUUGCGGCUAGUAUCUACAAUUAGAAGGUGGAGUUGGCUAAUGUUUGAUUUUGAGUUUUUUAAGUCCUACUCUCAGUCGGUGUCCCAACACAUGGCACUGUAAUUUACAAAUCAAGACAGACUGAAGAAUUAGUAGACUGAUAAAUACUGAUCGAUACACGUUGGUUCAUUUGGUAUUUUGAACUUUGCUCUGUUGUAGGUUGAUUGCAUGAACUAUUAGACCACGGCAAUUGGAAGACUAGUACAAUAUCGUCACAAAAUUGUUGGACAAAGUUCAUUGAUAAGACUGUUAGUCUUUACUCCUUCACUAGUGAAACAAGGUUGGUAGAUGCAUGUUUUUGAAGAAUGCUUUGACUCAAAGAAGAAGAAGAAGAAGAAGAAGAAGAAGAAGAAGAAGAAGGAGAGAGAGAGAGAGAGAGAGAGAGAGAGAGAGAGAGAGAUGUUGUUGAUAAUUAUUUAAGAUAAUUAAAUAUUAGAGGAAAAUUUUAUUAGCCUGGACACCAUGGGAGAAGGAACAACGACUUCUUGGAGCUUCCAAGAAACACAAUGGACAUUUCAAAAGGUUGGAGAAGAUGAAAACGAUAGAAAGGCUACGCACAACUAAGAAUCCAAUUAUUCCUGGAGUUGGGAGUAGGCUCUCGAUCCACAAACUUGACUUCAAAGCUACAGUAGUUGUUGGUUCCAUUCAAGAAGGUAGUUGAUCUUCUACGUUAAAGAACCAAAACGGGUAGAUGUCUGUCCUUGAUGAUCCCUUGAGUCAAUUAGCAUCAUCCACAAAGGUGGAGGGAGACCAGAGAUGUUACUGAAAUAUCAGUGGCUGGCGUUGAAGUACUAUGAUCUGCCCCUGCUCAGCAUCCUCUUGAGAGAAGAACCAAAGGAAGAAGAAGGAGGAGAAUCUUCUUUGAUGGUGUGGGUUGCUGUUGCGGGACCAAGUGAUGAUGUGUCAGCGCGUACGUCACCCUCGGCUGCUGCAACAUUGACCACACACGACUCUUCGUUCGCAUUCCUCGGUUCGACUUGCACGGCCGCCUCACACUCCACCACCACCACGGGAACGACCACCGAAACAGCGUCCACCACCUGAGCCGGCUCGCCCAUGAUCUCCACCGGCGCCCUACAGAUAGGGCACGUCGCAUGAGACAUCAGCCACAUGUCGAUGCAACCGACGUGAAAGGCAUGCUUGCAUGCCGGAAGAAGCCUGCCGCUGUCGUCCUCUUCCAUGGCGUUCAAGCAAACCACACAUUCCAAUCCAUGCUCGUGCUCCCGGGACUUGUACACGAAGACGGGGAGCGAAGCCACCACCUUGGGAUCGACCCCACUAAUCGAUAGCCUUAUCUCGGUCGUGUGACCGGGGAAUGUGGCCAUGCUUCGGAGAUGGAGAGGCUCCCUGAACACUACUCUCCUGACCACCGGCCGCUGCCUCCUGAUCAGCCACCGAGCGUAGAUGUGGAGAAACAAGACGAAGAAGAUGACGAUGGAUAACAAUAUUACCGCGGCGAGCAUGACCUUGUCAUUGUAAGGGUCGUCGCCGGCGUCUCGACUGCGAGUAACCGGUGCGCUGGCCAUGGCUGCUCCCACCCGCUCGAGUGGAGUAUUCCAAGAAUGGCACGACUACAUGCUGCAGGAAUGGAGGAAGAGCGUGGAGGCUAUGGACAUGAAGAGGGGAUCCUUUAUACAGAAGAACGGGACACUAGCUGGGGGUCAGAGGAGUCGUAGAUGGCGCAUGGAAUUGAGGAGAAGGGGGGCCGUGCAAAUACUGGCUAUUGACUCACGAACGGCGAGAGAGCUCGAGGUUUUGGGAAUGAAGAAGAAGAAGAAGAAGAAGAAGGUGGAGAGGGUGUUGGUUGGUUGGAUGAGUGGUUUGCUGUCGGGGAAGGCACAGGCGGCCAGGUGGCUUGUGGACAUCAUUUUGGGGCUGAGGAUGGGGACGCGGGUCCGAAGUAAGAGUCUCGUGAAGGCGACGGCAGCAUCUUUUUGAUUGCUUUCAUGGGUCGCCACUCUUUGACUCGGCCAAAACGAGACGAGAUCGGCUGCUCUUUCUUCCUCCUUUUUAUUUAUUUUUAAUUUUAUUUCUGGAAAUGCCGGGAGUGCCGUUGAUGUUGGUCGCUCGUCCCAUGUGGUUCUUGCGUAGGUUGGUGUGCCAUCGCCGCCCAGCCGUCUAAGACAUAGGAUCACCAGCAGAAUUGUCCGUGGUUUUUUUGUUACUGAAGAAGGUAGCUGUCGGUCGGAUCCUUAGAUUACCAGCAAAAUAUUGUUAAUUCCGGAUCAGCUUAUUUCAGACUUCCGGGGGAUUUCGUGAAACCAAAAAGUUCUCCGCCUUCGCCCGGUUUCGAUUUAGAAUCCAUCUAGAAAUCAAUUCAUGUUAAAAGAACAAAAACGUAUGAGCCAAAUACGAACUGAUACUGGUAUUCUAAAUGAAAAUUAAAUCUGCAUAAAGAUGCCAGUAAAUAGUGUGUUUGUUUCGGAUGGCAUCCGAUGGAUCACCGUGCUAGCCGCCCCAGCUGGAUGGCAUGGUCAACCCCGACUAUUCUAUCUUCGAUGACUGCACGAUGACAUAAAAUCGUAAGAGAAUAAAUAAAUAAAAAGUUGAAGUGAGACAAAGCUAGAAAAGAUCAAAUGCCUAAAACAAAUAUCAGCAAUAAAGCGUUGCACGAAAAUAAUAUAUGACAUCAAAAGAAUAUAUGACCAAUCAUGCUCAUCCGUAUCUCCGGAUCUCUUUAGCAAAUUCAGUGUCCUCUUUAAUCUGCUCGAGAAAUGCUACCUGCUAUCAGUAUGAAAUACACAGCCUCGUCGCUAAAGAAGCAGAAAGUACACAGGAGAUGUGCAGAUUGCUCUGAAUGAAGAAAUUAGUUAUUUUGUUCGGUGAUAAAUGAUACUAUAAAAAAGUGAUUUGGAGAGGCUUGCUUUCAAGCCAACAUCCACUCUGUAAAAUCAUAAUUACUUAAAACAAAAACAAAAUGGUAGGACCAGCUACAUGCAACCUCCCGGGAAAUGAAUUAAUCCAUUAGCUUGUAUCUCUUCUCUUGAACACCGAUGACGCCCAUUUGUAUCUCAAUUAUUGUGUGAAGUGGAACCUGCACGGGUAUAAAAAAAAAUUUUUAACUAGUCUAAACCUAGUCUGAACUUCAAUGCAAAAGUAUAACCACGGAUGCUUCAUGUGUUUCAGAAAUUUUAAUGAAAACCACUUACUUCAAUGUGAGGAAUUUCUUUCAAUGGUCUGUCAGCAAAAUAUGAAUAUAAUGCUCUCAACACAGCCUAUAAGAUAGGAGUAUCUAAGAAACCAACACUUUCCAAGUAAAACCAUCCAUAAGCAUAGACAAUUAAGCCUUCGUGCAAAUUACCUGGUGAGAAAUGACGACAACUGGUGCACGUUGCCGUUCAAGCUCAAUAAUUACGGGUUCCAACCUGAGCAUGAAAGAUUGUCAAUGCACACAUUUAACAUAUGAUUAUCUGUUGAAAGCACAUAGCAAACAAAAAAUUUAAUAAAAUUAGAUCAGUAGAGCAAACCUUUGAAUGACAUCCAAGUAUGACUCCCCACGAGGGUAUCGAUAUCUGAGCUUGUCCUUCUUACGUGAUCUGAAUUUUAACAUGGAAGAAGUUACAAGACAUUCAAACAAGUGCAUAAAAAUAAAAAAAGAAGAAGUGAUAAGUGAGUCAACUGGUUUUCUUUUAAGUGAAAGGAAACUGUCUCUGAAGGUAUCGGUUAUAAUGAAGAAAGAGGUGAAAAAAUGAGUGAUGAGUUGGAACUUGAUUUCACAUAUUCUGUGAAGAAAAACUCAAUUUCAAUAAAAAAUGGAAGUCGAUUUUGUGGUGUACUAGGACUCUACUCUCUAACUUCAACCAUCUAAGGGAUUUUUCCACCAUCUUACUCCUACUUGGCACUAAAAGAAGGCAGACCAAUGCAUAAGGCUCCCCCACUGGUAGUCAGUAUAUGCUUCCCCAUGAGCGGAGGGAUUGUUUCUUUGAUGCUGUCAAUGGAACCCAGGCCACAAAGAUAUAACUUUACUAUAAUGCAAGGCUCUCCCUCUAAUACCUAGCGGUGUUGAUUUGUCAUAUGAAGCACGUCAACACAGGGAGAGCCAUCCAAAACCACACUAGAGCUUGAUUGCAUAUGGGGUUCAAAUCAAGCCUUCAGAUUUCACACUACUUUUUUUUGUGGCCCAAGAUCAUAUCUGACUUCAGUUCAUGCAGAUUAUACUCGGGACAUUGAAACUUGUCAGUUCAUAUGAUGCAUACUCAUAUUCCUCAGGCAUGUUUUUCUUUAUUUCUUCGUAAGUCAUUCCAUCACAUACUCCGGCAUUUAUCUCUUCAAGGGCACGCCAUUGUAUCUAUAAGUAAUAACAAUAACAUUAAACUGAUCACAUUUUGAGCAAGUGAGAUGAAAAUCCAAGCAUCAGAAGAUACCUUUGGGAAUCCAACAAUUGGACUUGCAGUUAAUAUAGUUCUUUGAAGUGUGCUAGUCCAUAUCUAAGACAUUUGAAGAAAGAAAAGGACUUAUAUGAAUAAGAUAGAGCAACAAGCUAUGUGACUAUUCAUCUAAGUACAUGGUUCCAAAAGUGGAAAUUGUUAGACACAUCAUAGGAAACAUGAAACUAAUGGAUCCAUGACGUCAUUCACAGAACAAAAAUGAAUAACUUUUUAAGAGAUGAACAGUUGCUUCUUGCAGAGGAAUUUAAUGCCUUAGAAUUCUAAUAUGAUCUCAAAUAAAUAAUGUUGUAUGAUCGUAUCUUUAAUUUCAUCUAAAAAUUGAUGACAGAUCAUAUUAAUAUAUUUUUUACCUGAAUAAAUUUUAUUAGUUUAGCAGGUAUUUUACAAAUGUCAUAAGUUGUCAAAUGACUAUUUUACCUAAUCCUACAUCAGUUACCCAUAUCAUCAAAGAAAGAAAAAGAAAGUCAGCUAAAAGACAAGGAAAAAGUUAAAGCUUGAUAGAAACCAACAAUAUCUACGAACAAAGAAGCAAUUCAGAAAGUUAAGCAAUAUAAAGGUUCAGGUAGGAAAAAAAUCUAACUAUGCUGAAUGAGAAAAGAAUGUGCACUAAAGUCCACAAAUGAUUUUCUUACGGAAGCUGUCCUCUCAGACUUCAGUCUCUUCUCAACAAAAUUUGCAAGUUUCUUUGAAUAAAGUUCACCGGCUUCACUGCUCAAAAGUUGAAACAAAUCAAAUUCACAGCCCUUUAUCUUGAAGAACAAAAGUUUGAAGAAGAUCGUGCAUAAAGUACAUGAUCGAAUGUCUGAGUGCUAGAAUAUCUACAAACUAGAGUUGAUCCUUAUGCACAUAGCUACAAGCAUAUAAUUUCGUAACUUGUCUCUGGGUCAAAUAUGAAUAACAUACAAUUAUUAUAAACAACGUGAGCAGACGAUCAAAAUAACAUUAUAAAUUUACAAUAUUUCUUAUAAUGAAUAGAAAUGCAAGAACGAACAUAUGGUUGAGCACUUCUUAUCAGAGACACAUUAUUUAAUAGAACUAUUACCACAUCAUGAUCAUAGGCACUGCAACAUGAAAAGUACAACCUUCUAGGCAAAGAUUUCUGCACACACCAAGCUCAAGGCUGACCAGAGAUAGUUGAUAUGUACAAAAUGUUGUUAUUUUUUCAUUGUAAAUAACGAAAUAAUAGAAAAGUUCACUUUUCAUUAAGAUGCAAGAGUUCGUUGACUAAUACCACCAGGACGUCUAACACAGAAGAUGCUUUAUUAAGCAUGUAAUUUCAAGAUUAAAAUUCUAAAUACAGUAGAUUUGGCAAUAUUAAAAAGCUCAAGAGAGCAAACCUUAAAACUGCAUCACCUCCAAUUCUUCCUCUAACAUUAUCUCGACUUUCACCAUGCCGUGUAAGGAGAAUAGGCCGGGGUGUUAGAUGAGUAUUCACCUGCAAUUUAAGUCUGGAUACCAUGACACUCGACAAUGGCUUUUCUAAAAAAUUGUAACUAUUGUUGGUUACUCAUGACUUUUAAAAAUAUUAAAAAAUGGUUUAAGUUUGGUCUAUGGGUGGUUUAGGCAUACUCCUGUACUUAAUUCUAUGACAUUGUCAACUUAUACAAAACACAAAAUAAUGAACAUAACUUCAACAUUUUGGGUGGGUCAUUCCCUUCCUCCUCUCACAUAUAGAUAGAGAAUACAUAUUGUCAGCGGCAGACAGUUUUGUACAUUGCUAUAACCAUAAUAUUAACAAAGAGCAGAUGAUGUUUGAACCAUCAAUUCUAUGGAAAAAAUAAUGAACAAAUUGUGUAUGAUACAAUUUAGAUAUUCGCAUAUGUACCAGGAAGAAGACAAUUCGGCCAGGAAGAUAACCACUGAUGUUGUUAACCUGAAUAAAAGAUUCAAGUCAUCAGGGAAUGAUGGUCAACUAAAAAUUUAAAAAAUAUAAUUAAAUUUCAAUUGAAAAUAAAAACCUUAGUACAUUACAUCAAAGUUGAGCGAUAAUGAAAACAUUAUUAGAAACGCAUAAAAGUCAUUCACCCAAGAUGUACUGUCUGUGAGGCUUACAACUUUUUGGUAUACAACAGUACCCAAACCAAGUAUACUCUGAUGGAGCUUGUUAAAUACUAAUCAAUUUAGGUAAAAAUACAGCUAUAAGUUACAGUGUCUCUUGCUAAUGCCGACAAUCUAAAAUGGCUAAGAUUUUGUCCUUCGCAUGGGCUAUUGCCAAUGGUCUUUGGAAAGAGCAUUAUUUUCCCUUGCAAUUUUAUGAUGGAUGGUGAGCAAUUUAGUCAUUUUAAGGUAAAAUAGAAUUUUAAAUAUGUCAAGCAAUAUCAUUAAUGUGGGUGACCAUGCCGAGGCAGGUACCAUCAGAGCUGGCACCUUGCGACUGAUGGAUCUGUUUGUUCGAAGCAAUGACAACCACAUGCUUUGAAGCCUAAUGUUCACUGGCAUAAUAUGUUGUGAUAAACCAAUCCUUAAACCGAAAAAAAGGGUGUAACUCAGGUAAAGGGAAAUAUAUCUAAGCAACACAAAAUGAUAACAAAAAUAAGAGAAAGGAGAACUAUAUAUAACUCACUUGUAUCUGCCCACCUUGUCCACUGACCAUGUCAAUCAUUUUGAUAUAAGAACCCUCUUCCACUGGUUCAUAUGCCUAUAAACGAGUAUAUAUCAUCCAUUUUGGAUUUAACGAGCAUAUGAACAAAAAGAUGCUACCUGCUAAAUGUAGGUAGAACAAAGGGUAUUUGCUUGGGAACCUUUUCAUAAUUGGCUAAGCGUUCUUUAAAGUCUAGCAUUCCAGCUUGAAAAUCUGGUCUGCAGAGUAAUAACGGAACCCAUUUAACCUGAGGCAUAUGGACAUAAAUCUACCUAAAAAAAAAUGUAAAACACUCACUCUUCUGCAUAAUCAGGGCUUUGUUGAAUUUUCAGCCGUAUAUUUCUUUCUAUUAUAUGUUCAUCAUUGCAAAUUGUUUCCAAAAAUAUGAUCUGCAACACAGAUUUGAGCAAUCAAAUAAAAAUCAAUUUAAUAUAUUUUAUUAGAAGACAGAAAAAGUAAUAUAAAGUACAAAGCUUGUGGAGGAUAUAUAUAUAUAUUCUCUUCGUUUUAAAAACCACAUAUGAUUGGUGAAAUGAAAGGAUCAAGAAUUGUCGAAAUGGUGAAAAAAGCCUUCUGGUUAUAAGUUCCAAUAGAAUAUAUUCACCCUGUCAUUAGUGAAAAUGAAAAAUAAAAAAGAAAACUACAUAGAAAUGAAAGAACAAACACAUUAUUUGCAUUGAGAAACAGGUCAACAACAAUAAUUUAACUGCAUUGGCUUCUGUAUAAGCUCUAAUCACCAGGAUGAAAAAAAUUCUCAAUUGGGAACCAGGCAAACCUUGUUGAUGCCAUUAUCAAUCAUCAUAUAUAGUACUGGCAUGUUAAUGCAAGGGGCAUGGAAAAUAAAAAUUGAAGUUGGAAUAAUCUGUACAUACAAAUGAGAUAAUCAAAAAAUCAGUAUUUACCUUGAAAAUGGUAGAUUGAGAAUUAAUUAUACACGAUGAUGGAAGAUAGAUUUAUGAACUGCAGGGCCCAUGAUGGCAACAAGCUAGUUGAUAUACACCAUCCUUGUUUAUGAUGUUACAAUGACAUACAUGCCGGAUAUAUUAUGAAUUCUUUCUAAGAGCUGAGGUCCUUCACAGUUCACAUUUAAAGAUUUCAAAGCAAUGCCUAAAAUCUACCAAGAUUUAAAUCAUGUCAACUAUACAACUAUCACUUUUAAGAUACCUAGCAUUUGACAAGCAACUUAAAUUAGGAUAUAAGAGAAAUAAACUGAUUUUUAAGUUGAACAUAAGAAUAUCACCAGAAAUGCCAAAUGCACAUGCUAAAAGUUCUAAGAUAAGGCCAGAUUUAAUUCUUGUGAAUAUCCAAUGAGAACUUCAAUCUUUGUAGCUCAAGGUUCUUCCUUGGCAAGAGCAAAUUUUGACCCCUAGAAGCAGAGGUCAAAUAUGAAAACUCAAGAGGGCAGAAGUAAUGAUGACAGCAAGAGUAGCAGACAAACAGUACCUUACAUUUUCCUUCAGCCAUUUUCAUGAGCAUAUUUCUUCGUUUUCUGGUGCUAUUUGUGGCAUCAAAAAUACCAACCUAUGGUACAACCAGAAACAUAAGAGCCAAUUAUCCCACUGCCACUUUAUCACUAUAACAAGUAACACUAUACCUGACCUCCUUCCUGCAUCCAGGCUAUCAUAUCCUCCAUGGCUAAAGCAGCAACCUAGAGACAUUGAAUAACAGGAAGGUACACAGGCAAAGUAAGUCAUGUAGUUGAAGUUAUUUGCUUCAGCAAAAAGUUCGAUAAAGUUAGGGGAGAUUUCUCUACAACCGGUAUAUACACUCAAGCUUGUCGAAUCAAAAGUGCAACUAAAAGGCUAUAUACAGCAAUAAGAUAAUUUAAUUAUUGGUACACCAAUCUUAAAUUUUUAGCUGAAAUAUUUGAAAGCAAAACCACAAGCAUAUGGGACAACAUUUGAAUAAGUUCAGUACUGUUGUAACCAGAUAGUGAAAAUUAAACAAGCAGCAGCUUGGAUCGCUUGUUGCUAACCUCAUUGCGAGCCUCCAAACCUUCGGGAUUGUCCCCACGAAAAAAAUCAGCAGACUGCAUAAUGAAUCGUUCAAAUUUAUAAAGCAUCACGGAGAAAAAGAAUAUGAACAAAUUUUGAGAGGAAAAAUGGUACUAAAUGACAAACCUGAAAAUCAGAUCAGAGAAUUAAAUCGAAUUUAAACUUCAGGGAAAAACUAUUAUCGAUAUUAGUUGAACAUAGAAAUAAAUUUUAUCGGGCAUAUUAACAUCUUUCAAAUAAAUACCCAUGGUGGAUCAUGUAGCACAAGUCAAGUUCCACCUAAUUGAAUAGUACCACGCAAGCAGAUCUGAAAAUAACAUCAAGAAUGACAAGAAAAUCAUCAUCACGCUACAAUGAAAUUCAACUAAGUAAAUCAUCACCAUGUUAGUAUUUUAAUUUACUCAAUUUUGGUGAACAGGAUCACAAGUUUUCCCUUUAAUAUAAGAAAUCAUGUCAUAUCACAUAACACAGGCCGAAACUUGAUGACCUGUAACCUAUAUCAAUAUUGAGUCAUGCAUGUCUAUGACCAUGCAUAGAUAAAGACUCGCAAGACUAUUAACAAAUAGGAGAAAGAUAAACUCUUUUCUGCUGCUGCUUGAUCACCCAAAACAGUGGUUUACUUCAAAUCUGAGUAUACCAGCAGUAAGCACAAUGGAUGUAACUUAUCCAAUUAAAAUUUUCUGAUAACAGAUUGGCAAGACUAUCAAUGAAUUUCAGAAUAAAAAAUGAAAAAUAUCAACCAAUUUUAGGAGCAUGGAAACAGGAAUGUCGUUUUGCUAGACCCCUGUUUCUGGUGGUCUGGUCUGCCCAUAUAGAAAAAAGGCAUUUGCUUGUGUGCCUCUGCCCUAAUCACAUCUCGCAUUCAUGCAGGACCAGUGCGAAAUCCUAUAGAGCACGCCAUCGUCACCUACCAGGUACGUCUUCUCUUCCACUUCCUCUUAUACCUCCUUCCUCUUCUUCCUUCUCGUUCCUCUUCCUCCACUACCUCCUCUCCUUCUUACUCUUUCUCAUUCCUCCUCUUCCUUCACUACCUACCAGGUACAGCACUCAUGCAGGACCCAUUGAUAAAAAGUUUGAUAAAAUAAUAGUUCUACUGAAAAGACAUAAUGUUAAUUGUGAAAUAUAAGAUUUCUAAUUUAAAAGUUAUAUGGUUAUAUAUAUAUAUAUAUAUAUAUAUAUAUAUAUAUAUAUAUAUAUAUAUAUAUAUAUAUAUAUAUAUAUAUANNNNNNNNNNNNNNNNNNNNNNNNNNNNNNNNNNNNNNNNNNNNNNNNNNNNNNNNNNNNNNNNNNNNNNNNNNNNNNNNNNNNNNNNNNNNNNNNNNNNNNNNNNNNNNNNNNNNNNNNNNNNNNNNNNNNNNNNNNNNNNNNNNNNNNNNNNNNNNNNNNNNNNNNNNNNNNNNNNNNNNNNNNNNNNNNNNNNNNNNNNNNNNNNNNNNNNNNNNNNNNNNNNNNNNNNNNNNNNNNNNAGGGAAGAAAGAUAAAACUUAAGCAUAAAUACCUAGUCAACUUCACUAUUGGAAAAUAUUAUAUCCAUAACUGAAACAGCAGCAACACCUUAGUUAUCAAAUGCAUGUUUAUAAUUGUUCCGCAAGAUAAAGCUACCAAAUAUAUACUGGAAGGAAAGGCAGAUCCAAAUGCAAUAAACAUGGCAAAUAAUUUUAUAUGAGCCUUGUAUUAUGUGAAAAAUGCCUUGAUAAACAUUUAAAAGUAGACCACCACUCAUUUACUGUACCUGAUUUGUUCCAAGCUUAAGGCGGCGAUACUGUUAGCCAAGUAACACAACACAAGCAGUUAGUAUUAUAAACUGGAUCAACAAUAAAUUUAAUUGGCUUUGUGAACAGGCAGUAUGUAAAAAGUUACAGUCUUCACCUUUCCAACAUUGAAAUGCUUGGUUUCAUGACCUAACCAUCGCAGGUAUCUAGUGAGUUUGGCUGCAGUGAAGGUUUUUCCCCGGGCUGGCAGACCAACCUGUAGCAUCACAACAUAACAAAUAGAACAAAGUAUUGGCAAUAGCAAUUAAAGAAAAAAUAUUAACCGUAUAUGAAUGGUGAAAGCUGAAAGAGGUGCUGCAUAUAACCAUAAGUUAUAGGAUAAAUAGCUUUAACUAAAUUAAACUGGUGGCUCCAUGUCAUUGAAUAGUUUCAAUAAAAUGUAAACAAGGAUGUGAUGGCUUGAGUUUUAUAUAUUUGUUUUGUGCGUUUGUCAAUAUUCAGUCACCUAAAUGAUAUUGUAUACCGUGAAUAUGGAGAAUACAUGAAACAGCAUACACUGUUUAAGCAAAUACUUCCACAGUAAAAGAAAAUAAGUUUCAUUUUAUAUGUCAUUACCAACACAAUGGCCAACCUACUAUCCUCCUUUGGUCCAAGCAUCUGAUCAGCAACAGCUGCGGCUGCAACUGCUCCAGCUGCGGCUGGCAUGCCCUUCUACCAAUUAAUAAAAAAGAUAUGUAAAAACAUCAGAUGUGUAGUAAAAUAAGCAGCAGUGUCUUCUGGACUAGAGGAAAAACAAAUUUUAACAUGUCUAUAUUCUGUACAGAACUGUUUGAUCGAAUAGUUAAAAGAAAUUCAUGAAAAACAAUUAAAGAGUUUUUCUACUGCUUAAUUAAAGCAUCACAAUAAAAGAACUCUGAGAUUCAUUCCCACAAGACAUUAUCCUGGUGGUCUGUGGUUCAACUUUCCAAACAAUGUGCUUGGGCACCCCCGUGCACAGGGCAGCAUCAUUAAAAUUCACAUCUUGCUGUUUGUUUGUGUGUUUGUUGAUAGUGUAACAAAUUCUUACUGUAGGACAGCACGUAGCCAUUGGACUACUUUGAUAGAUAAACAGCAAAUUAAGUUGUCCGCAAUCAAGAAAAGAAAGAAAAAGAAAUAAUAAAUGGACACUAUAAUUACAGUAAAGGCACUCACCUAGAGUAGGCUUUUACAGAUCAAAAUGAAAAAUGAGCUAAAGGGAACAAAUGGAUGAACUAAUCGUAAACAGAACUGUUAGGUACAACCAAUAGAAUCAUGCAGGAAACUGACAGUUGAUAUUUUUUUCAAAUGACCAGUCAACAAGAAGAUUCUGUCUGCUUGAACAAACCUUUGUUUCAGAGUCCAACUUGAGAUCAAAUGUGAAUGCACCUGCACUAGCUGAUUUAACAAGUCUAGGGGAGCCAACACCCCUAUCGACAAAGAGUCCUUUUUGACCAUCUUGCUUUGGCAAUGGUGAAAAUGUGCCAACUGACUUCGACUCAACCAUACCAGGAGCUGGAGGACAUUUGGGAUGAUCUGAGUCUGGAUCCAAGACUGUAGUAUCCAGAUCCUGAGCAAGCAUACAGGAGAAUGAUAGUUGUUACCAGCAAUAAGGUGAAAGUACAUGUCGACGUCAAGCAUAUUAUCAAGCAGAAUAUCUAUGUAACGGAGGCAAUUAAAAGCUUGCAAAUGAGAAAAAGGUUGACGUAAGAGGAAAACAAAAUUUGAUCAAGAUCAUCAAAAUAUCAAAAAAACAAGUAAUAAUAACUGGACAGUGCAUCAUAAAUAAAUUAAACAAUAUUUUUGCACUUGACCUAUGACAAGAAAGCCAAUGGAAGCAAUAAUGUGCAAUUAUAAAUACAGGCUAUAAAUUUAUUUAAGCUGUUUAGGUUUCUGAUGCAAGACCUCAGAACUACAAGAAGAGUUGCAAGCAAGUACCUUACAGCUAAUAGAAUAGUCAAGUGAAAAGACACCAGCUUUACUUGAGCCAUAUGAACUACCACUUAGGGCAUCAUUCUUAGAGAAAAUUCCAGCAGUAGGCAAUGAUCUUGGUGUCUCCGUCAAAUUAGCUGCAUAAACAACACCAGCACUAGCAGAUGGUGCUGGAACAACAUAAUGUUCUAAAUCAAGCUCCAAAGGAGAUGCUGGCCCAAUCUGCUGGGAAAGAUGACAAAUAUGAAAAUUGCAGCAAUGAAAAAACAUUCACAAUCAGCAUAUAGCAGAAAUUAGACAAGGUUGAAAAUAACAGGGUUAGACUCUAUUUAAGGUUCGAGAGACCCAAAUGCAGUGUCCAUACAGAAAUGACUAUAAUCACUACUAAGCAGGACGAAUUGUAAGUCUUACAAUUUCUAGUUUUCCACUCGGCAAUUGCUUUUUCUCCCUAUAAAAGAUAUCACAUUGUAAACGAUAUUAUCAUAAACAUCCAAGCCCUUUGCCAGUGCAUUGUUUCGUUGAAUAGCAAGGUCACAAGUCAAAACCAGUCUCCAUGAAGAUCAUUCACAAAAAAUAUUCUGUCAACAAAAGGUGCCUAGAAACUCAGCUCAUGCCUAGCGGUCAUAAUAGGUACAUGUCCAGAAGCCUUCCAUCUAUAAGACUUCUUAUUUCUUAUUCAUUCAUCAUCUACAAUUUACAUACAUUUUGCUUAUUGUUCUACUAGGUAUCCCAGUUCUACCCUCAUCACUUUUCUGCUUUACAAACUGAGAAACUCGCCAUACUACAUAUAAUCAAAUAAAGUUGUUGUGAAGCUGCAGAAAGCAACUUUCAUACAAGCAAGUUCUAAUGUUUUCUUUUGAGUGAAUUACAUUCUACAUACCCAAUGAAUGUCUUGACAACCUUUUAGCUGAAGAGACUUACCGUUCUACUGCAUAAUCCUACAAAUAUGAUGUUCUAAAAAGAUAAGCAAAAGGCAUCAAUCUCGACCCUGCAAGUUCCAGGAGUACCUCCAAACCCGUAUUUGGCGCCACAUUAAUACUGACAUCCGGAAUCCCUCGCACCCUUGACGGCUGGAGAUUCUCCUGAUAGGCCCGCCAACUGGCGGCAAGAUCAAACGGGGACACAAUGUCGGCCUUGAUGAACACCUUAUACUCAAGAACCUCUUCGUCCCCACCUAUCUUGAACAGCGCCGACCUGGCGUCGCCCUCCUCCAGCGUCCCUCCCGUAAGCAGCCGGCUCGGCCCCUCCUCCACCACGCACGGCGCGUUACUGUACUUGGGCUUCAACAAGAACUUGAAGUCCAGCGUCUCUAAACAACAAGAAAAAGCCCACGCGACAAAACAAACGCAAUAAGAAAACAUGAUCGCGGAGGCAAUCGGAUCCAAAAAUCGAGGGGGAGGCUCGCUCAUACCGUGAUCGGGUGACACGACGAAGCUGAGCUCCCACAUCGAAGCAGACUCGCGCGCCAUCGAGAGCUGAGGGGUCAAUCCAACGUCAAGAUGCGUCAGAAUUGAUCGAGAAAGAGAGGAGGGGGAUCAAUGAUCUUACGGCUUUGGAGAAGUCCCAAGAUCCUGUGAUGGGAACGGAGCCGUAGACGUGGGGGAUGAGGUCGCGUCGGAUCUUGAAGUUCUCCAUCUUGAGGGAGACGUAGAGCUGGCCCUCGCGGCCGCCAUGGCAGCUGCCGGAAUUCUUCGAUGCGCUCGUACCCAUCGCAGGAACGCCUUCGGCUCGGGGGAGGGAGAGAUAGGGCGGCGAAGGGUUUGGGUGGAGGAGAUUAGGAUAUAGGAGGAGAGGAGCGGGCGCGACGGACGAAAAGAAGUGGAGAAGCGGCAGGGGGGAGAUCGUGAACCAGACGGCGUUGUCAUCUACUGGAUCGGUUGAGUCGGGCCCACCGAAGGGAACGGGAGAAGCGUGAGGGCCAUUUGGGCGUCGCACUGGGCGCGUGCCUAGAUAUUAUUUAUCUGCGAGUGAGCAAUCUAGUCAGAGUCACCUGCGAACGCAUUUAAUUUUGAACGGUAGAUAUGAGAAGCACAUGCAGAUCCCACGGCUCCUAUGAGACAUAGAUAAAGAAGGAAACCGCGCAAGAAAGCAGGUGGCCAGCGGUCCGACGUGUUAGGUCGCAUGCGCUUGUGACAUAAACCAGCGCAAGAGGACAGUUGUAAUAACAAUGUCUAGUCACCGGUCCUUUUUUUUAUUUAGUACGAUAUUAGCAGCCCUACGACAAAUAAUUUUGUGAAUUUUGUAUUUACUUUUAAUACUUAACUUAGUUUAAUAGGUGAAGUGUUAAUAGAAUGUCAAAAAUAGUAAUAUUGUAAAUAAAAAAAAAAGAGCACACCUAAGAAUAUAUUUUAUAAUUCCACUUUUGGAAUCAUGUUGUUAGUAAAAUCCUAGGAAUGAUGUCAUAUGUGAUCGAAAUACUAAGAACAUAUAAUUAAGGAGGUGUUAGUCACGACAUAACAUAGUGUCGAUCAAGAUGCACAAAGUAUCGAUAAAGUAUCAGUUACAUGAUAACGAGGUAUCGACUAUAUCAUUUUUUUUUUAUCAAAUUUAUUUUUUAAAAUCUUAAAUUAUUUUAAAUUUUAAUAUAAUCCUUAAUAUAUUUAUUUUUAAAAUAAUCAAUAAUCAUAAUUAGAAGUUAUUAAUUAGAAUUUAUUAGAUGAAUUCUAAAGGAAGUAUGUUCUAAAUAUCUAGAGGGAUAUAAUUGUUUCCAAACUUUUAUAUAUAUAUAUAUAUAUAUAUAAUAGGAAAGAGAAUUAAAAAUAAAAUACAUAAAAAUGACUCAUCAUGACCAAUAUUUUAUCAAUAAUAAUGGGGAUAUAUAUUCUAGAAUUUAUCAAAUAUUAUAAUAUUAAAAAAGUUAUAGUCAAAUUUUUUUCAUUAAGGAAUCAACUAAUGACUUGUUAGUAAACCUGAAUCAGUCUUUAUAUACUAGAAUGCACUAAUUGUAUAUUGUAAUGAAGUCUAAAUAUUAUUAAUAAUUAUUAUAAAAUUGAGUUUAUUGUAUUUUUCUAAUUAAAAUUAUCAAAUUUGAAUUGGGAUAAUAUUUGAUCAAAAUUUGAGUUUGAACAAAACAAAAAAAAAGGAAUACAUGUGAUAGUACACAGCACAUAUAGGGAGGAAGAGAGGAAGAUCACUCGGUGGCUGGUGCUUUAGAAGCCCAGCAGAUAAAGAGACGGGCGUCGAUGUCUAUCCCCCUCAUGAUUCAUGCAUAGUGAUAAGCUCUAUAAAUAAACUCAGUUACAUCAAACGUGUCCGGAGAAUUACGGUACAGUGUGGGAUGCCCCUCUGUGCUAUAUCACCUGAUUCGGAGCAGUCGCAAUGCCGAAAUAGAACCACAUGGUGUAAAUACUUCAAUCUUGUGUCAGAAGAUGGUGUGGAAUGCUUCGAUCUUGUCUUACAGCCGUUCUGAACAUUUUCGAUCAUUAACGUAGUUGUUUUCCCUGGUUGAAGACAACCGAGUCCCUGCCGUUCAUCUGAAGUGUCGUUUAAUUGGCUUCCUUGUUCCGCAAUGCAUGCAUGCAUGCAUGGGAUACAUCUGUCAUCAACCUAUCUUCCAGGUUCGUUUGCUGUCAAUACCUAACAACCUUCUUCUUCCUCCGCAUCUGUGCCUCGUGCUCCGCUCACCGAACCCCUUCUCCCGUGAGAGAGAGAGAGAGAGAGAGAGAGAGAGAGAAAGUACUUAUACUGUAAAAGAUGAACGAUUACGAGGAAGAAAAAAAGCUGAAGCCUUCGUAACUUUGCUGUCGAGGGGGUGUGCGUGCGGAGCACGCAGCGCGGGCUGCAAUCUACUGAUGAAGCUGGGGAUGUCGGAAGGUUCAACGGGUGACGUUGUUUUUGGAAAUCAUGAUUUCCUUCCUAGGAGACAUGGACUGCAUGAACACGCAAGAGCAAGUGUCUUCUUUCCCCGAGUGUGCUCAUCGGAAUCAAAUCCGACUCGGAGUUGACAGACUUAGAAGUUCGUGUAACAUGCGAACUAUCGUCACCGGGUGAACAAUCAAAUCUGGCUCGAAGUUGACAUGUUUAGGAAUUCUUCUAAUCUUCACCAGACGAACCUGAAGAAGUCUGAGACGAUUGAUGAGCCAAAGAUACAUUACAGGUCAAAGGAUAUGAAUCUCGUGCCUCUGCCGUUUCAUCUCGUUGGCCUUUGCCUAAUCUGAAACUUUCCAUGAAGUACGCGAGUGGACUUAUGCAUAUUUGUGGUUCAAAUCUUUGGAGAUGGUUUCAAGUCGACAGAAAUCUUUCGUGGAACACAUGAGAACAUGUAAUGGAGGAAAUUGCAGCACGUAUGAGCUGCAUGCGUUUCAUGUUGCAGGAACACUGAAAUCAACGUCACCACGUCAGAGUAAACCGUGUGCUUAUUAUAUACGUAUCUCGUUUACGGGAUUGCCAGUUUGACUUGUGGGCUCGACCUCUGCCGACCAAAUUCUGUCAUGUGAAUCAUCGAUCAAAUUAAAUGUUUAACAUAUGUAAUUAUAAUUCCUCUAACUCAUGCCAUCAACAGUGUCCAUCGGCGUCAGCUCGUGUUCAACAACGUAACAUAUUAAAUGCAAUGUAUCAUGCCAUUUAAUUAUAUGCCAACCCCACCAGCAUUCUGCUGACCUUUUCCAGUGGAUCUCCAUGCCAGGAAAUGCCACUGUGCGCCAUAAUACCAUUUUCGCAUUCAGAGCGGACCGUGGUUUCCAACCAUGGGAAUAUCUUCGCGUUCUCCUCACACCGCGCAUCCUAAGGAAGCGGUAACCUUUGCGAACGUAGCCGAAAGGGACGGAGAAGCUUUCGAGUAAGGCGGGAAGGUAACGACACUGCGGAGCAAUCAAUUCGGGCCGCAAUCGGACGGCCGAGAUAAUUAAAGAUUGACGCCAAAGUCCAACGAUUGACACCAAAGUCGCCUCUGGUUUUGCCCCCACGGAAUCGCCCACAAAAUAUAAAGACGAUCUAACAAUUAAAGAUAUUUAAGAAAACUGUUUUUUUUUUCUGUCGUAUAAAUAGUCGUCGGUCCUCAAGACGAAGACACGUCAAAGAAGAAGUAAAGCAGCGUAGGAAAGAGAGAUCUUUUCGGCUCUCCCACUCUUUCUCGAUCUCGUUAGCAAUGGAAACCAAGAUCGGGUCGGUGGAUGCGGCGGUGGAGGUCAAGGCGAACGGCGUCGUCGGCAGCCCUCCGGCGGGGCACUGCUACCCCAUCGCUCCAGCGGUUCAGGCUUCGGCGCCGGAGAAGACCCUGGGCAGCCACCUGGCGCGGCGCCUCGUCCAGGUGGGCGCUCACGACGUGUUCUCCAUCCCCGGGGACUUCAACCUCACCCUCCUCGACCACCUCAUCGCCGAGCCCGGCCUCCGCCUCAUCGGAUGCUGCAACGAGCUCAACGCCGGGUACGCCGCCGAUGGCUACGCCCGCGCCCGCGGUGUCGGCGCUUGCGUCGUCACCUUCACCGUGGGAGGCCUCAGCGUGCUCAACGCCAUCGCGGGGGCCUAUAGCGAGAACCUCCCCGUCAUCUGCAUCGUCGGCGGCCCCAACUCCAACGACUUCGGGACGAACCGGAUUCUCCAUCACACCAUCGGCCUUCCGGACUUCUCGCAGGAGCUCCGCUGCUUCCAGACCGUCACUUGCUACCAGGUAAUGAACAUUUACUCUCAUCUCUCCGCGAAGAACAGAGGAAAAAGGCAAA